ensembl:lncRNA
GACAUUUCAUUUCUUUAUUAAUUUUGUAAAUGUUGAGCUGGUGUACAGAGUAAAUUGUCAAUAGAUGUCCUCGGAUUUGAUUGGAUUAAAAGGCUUUUACAUGUAUAUUUUAAAUCCAUGUUUGACUCUCCAUAACAAUAAAAAAGCAAACAAAACAAGUUAAAAUACCCACAAGACCCCUAUUUAUCCCCAGGUUGCAGGCAUUACCCAGAACUCAACAGUCUCUUGGUAGCUACAGCUGUAUGAUGCUAAAAGUACAUCCAUAACAUAACUAGAAUCCCAGUUGACAAGUAAGGGUGCAUAGCAUUCUAAGUAAAUAUAUAUAUUUAUAUAUAUUUUCAUAUAUUUCAUAUAUAUAUAUAGCCUUUUAUGUUAAAAACAUUUUCUGUGCAUGUGCGCAGUUGCAUUCCUUAGUAUUGAGUAAUAUGCUAUUGCGUUAAUAAUGUCUUCAAUCCAUUCUAAAGGAAUAUACAUGUGUUCUCUAGUUUUUGCAACAGUUAAUAUUUUUGCAUGAACUUGGUGCAUGGCAUCAUCUCAGUAGUCCCUCAGUGCAGGACUCUCCAGUGUUCGGUUUUCAGAUGUAACCACAGCUCCGUCUGCUUGCACUUAGUUGGACUUCUUUCUAAACAUGUCCAAACUGUCACCAUGUGGAAGCCGGAGAAUCGGCUCAGUCUCAUAUUUGGUUAGAGGGCAGAAAAAGAUCAGGGGUGGGCUGUGUUGAGGAAAAAUGCUUGUCAUCUUGAAAGACUAGCCAUCGAAGCCACCAAGCGUCCCCAUAAUUCCGUCUGACAUCAAAGUGCUUCCUCUUAUUAUUUUUUCAUCAGAUCCCCUCUUGCUCUAACCCUGACAUCAGCAGUGGAUUUAUAAAUGGCCCAAGCAUACCAUAAUAUGAGCCCAUAAAGAGCAAACCAUAUGUUACACUGGAAAGGGUACUGCUCACACUGCUGUGUAGCUUUUAUUGACAUCUAACUUUUAGUGGUUAUCAAGCAAGAUAAUAAAACAAAGAAUAUCUGAUGAAGGGAUAUUAGUUAAAAAGUCAAAAACCAAUAUGAGGCUUCGCUCGUUAAAACUCUCCUCUAUAUAUGUUUGUGAUGAAAUGUGAAUGAAGUCAUAUGUAUUAUAAUCAACAGCAGAUACUGAGUUGAAAC